rnacentral:tRNA from 2 species
GCCCUUGUGACGGAACUGCCAGACGUGUGGCUUCAGAGACCAGAUUUUGUGGGUUCGACUCCCACCAAGGGUA